rnacentral:lncRNA from 1 species
CUUAAAUAAUUUUAUUUAAUUAAUUAAAUUAGAAUAUUUCAAAAGAAAAUUUAAAAAUAGAAUUGAUUUUUUUUUUGUUUAGAGAGUUUUUAGAUAAGAUGGGAUUAUAAAUGUCUAGACACAUAAUGGGCCUACCAGGUAUAAUGUGGUGUAUUCAAAGUAUCUAGGAGCUAAUUCUAGUUCUAGCUGACUUCCUAAAAUAAAGGCUGGUUCUAGAAGGUCCCUGAUUUUUGUCAACAACUGGGGUAAAAAGGGAUUUAUAGCAGGAUGGACUUUGUCUAUUUUCAAGGUAAAAGUCUGUGGAGUACAAACCAUCCUGUGGUAAAGCUGAGAGUAUAGUUUGAUCUGGGAUCUUCUGGGGCCAGUCAGUUCUGUACUUGUUCAGGCCUGAUUCUUCCCUCCUCCCAUCUCCUCCACACACAGAAAGAGUUCUUCUGGAACCUGAUAUGUCUCAAACAUGUUAUCAUGCUAGAAAGAAUGUUUGAUUUGGAGGCAGAGGACCUCAGCUCUGUGGCUUUCUAGCUUUGUGACUGGGAAAAAUCACUCCAACUUUUGGGUCUUCAUUUUUGAGGAGGUUGGACUUGAUGACCUCUGUGGUUUGUAUCAGCUCUAAAAAUCUAUGCUACUAUGCCAAGACCCAGGGGUCCUCCACUAGAGACUUUUCUAGUUGGUGUGAAAUUAUUUAUGGAUAUUCUCUGGAUCACUGUUGUUGAGUUGUUUUCAGUUGUGCUCCACUCCUCAUAACUUGGUGUUUUCUUGGCAAAAAUACUGGAGUGAUUUGUUGUUUCCUUCUCUAUCUCAAUUUAUAGGUAAAGAAACAGAGGCUAAAAGGUUUAAGCAACUUGUCCACAGUCACAUAGCUAGUCAAAGAUGAUUCUUCUUGGCAGGGAAAACAAAACGAGAGUGAAGCAGCUCAACAGUAAAGGCUCUCCUGGCUCCUGUGCUGUCUAUGCUCAUUACAAGAGGGGUGACCAUCAAUUCAUGAAGACUAUGGAUAAAGGGAUAGUGGUCUGUAUCACCCCCAAAAGGGUAUCCACAUGGAGGAAAUAAUGGGUCAUAGAAGUAAAAAAAACCCAAACAUUUCAGCCUAGAGUGCUAUGGUCUUAAUAAUGAGCAGUUGAAGUCUACAUCCUGGGCUCUCAGAAGAUUUCAUGCCCUUUAAAAUGCAAAAUGAAUGGAACUUUAGUUCCCUCUUUUGUGGUCUUCCUGGCAAAGAUGUUUCAUGGGUCACACCUAUGACAUCAUUAAUAUCAGUUAUGGCCUUUUAUGUGUGGGAGGCUAGAUGGGGUGGCCCUGGAACUAUAUUUAAUACUUGUAUUUAUUAACUUACAAGAGAUUCUAGUAAUUACUCUAAAAGCACACCCUUCUCUUCUGUCUUAGAAUGAA